GAACGGGUGAGUAACACGUGGGGUGAUCUGCCCUGCACUUUGGGAUAAGCCUGGGAAACUGGGUCUAAUACCGAAUAGGACCACGCGCUUCAUGGUGUGUGGUGGAAAGCUUUUGCGGUGUGGGAUGGGCCCGCGGCCUAUCAGCUUGUUGNNNNNNUAAUGGCCUACCAAGGCGACGACGGGUAGCCGGCCUGAGAGGGUGACCGGCCACACUGGGACUGAGAUACGGCCCAGACUCCUACGGGAGGCAGCAGUGGGGAAUAUUGCACAAUGGGCGCAAGCCUGAUGCAGCGACGCCGCGUGAGGGAUGACGGCCUUCGGGUUGUAAACCUCUUUCAAUAGGGACGAAGCGCAAGUGACGGUACCUAUAGAAGAAGCACCGGCCAACUACGUGCCAGCAGCCGCGGUAAUACGUAGGGUGCGAGCGUUGUCCGGAAUUACUGGGCGUAAAGAGCUCGUAGGUGGUUUGUCGCGUUGUUCGUGAAAACUCACAGCUUAACUGUGGGCGUGCGGGCGAUACGGGCAGACUAGAGUACUGCAGGGGAGACUGGAAUUCCUGGUGUAGCGGUGGAAUGCGCAGAUAUCAGGAGGAACACCGGUGGCGAAGGCGGGUCUCUGGGCAGUAACUGACGCUGAGGAGCGAAAGCGUGGGGAGCGAACAGGAUUAGAUACCCUGGUAGUCCACGCCGUANACGGUGGGUACUAGGUGUGGGUUCCUUCCUUG
rnacentral:rRNA from 1 species